CCAAUAGCGUAUAUUAAAGUUGUUGCAGUUAAAAAGCUCGUAGUUGAAUUUCGGGGUCAGCAGGUUGGUCGUGCCACUGGUAUGCACUGGCUUCGCUGAUUCCUCCUUUUUGAAGAAAUGUAAUGCCAUUAAUUUGGUGUUGCAGGGAAACAGGACUGUUACUUUGAAAAAAUUAGAGUGUUUAAAGCAGGCUAACGCUUGAAUACAUUAGCAUGGAAUAAUGAAAUAGGACGUUCGAUCCUAUUUUGUUGGUUUCUAGGAUUGACGUAAUGAUUAAUAGGGAUAGUUGGGGGCAUUAGUAUUCAAUUGUCAGAGGUGAAAUUCUUGGAUUUAUUGAAGACUGACUACUGCGAAAGCAUUUGCCAAGGAUGUUUUCAUUAAUCAAGAACGAAAGUUAGGGGAUCUAAGACGAUCAGAUACCGUCGUAGUCUUAACCAUAAACUAUGCCGACUAGGGAUCGGAUGAUGUUAAUUUUUUAAUGACUCAUUCGGCGCCUUACG
rnacentral:rRNA from 1 species